rfam:Myotis lucifugus cont2.15437, whole genome shotgun sequence.
GGUGGUUCUCAGGUGACGCACCCCGGAAUCAGGCUUCCUCCUCUCUGGUUCCAGGUACGUCACCUGAGAACCUCA